CCUACGUGUGGCAGCAGUGGGGAAUAUUGGUCAAUGGGCGCAAGCCUGACCCAGCAACGCCGCGUGAAGGAAGACGGCUUUCGGGUUGUAAACUUCUUUUCUGAGGGACGAAGAAAGUGACGGUACCUCAGGAAUAAGCCACGGCUAACUACGUGCCAGCAGCCGCGGUAAUACGUCGGGGGCAAGCGUUAGCCGGAUUUAUUGGGUGUAAAGGGCGUGUAGGCGGGAAAGCAAGUCAGAUGUGAAAACUCAGGGCUCAACCCUGGGCCUGCAUUUGAAACUGUUUUUCUUGAGUGCUGGAGAGGCAAGCGGAAUGCCGUGUGUAGCGGUGAAAUGCGUAGAUAUACGGAGGAACACCAGUGGCGAAGGCGGAUUGCUGGACAGUAACUGACGCUGAGGCGCGAAAGCGUGGGGAGCAAACAGGAUUAGAUACCCUAGUAGUC
rnacentral:rRNA from 1 species